UGCAGUGAGCCGAUAUUGCACCACUGCAUUCCAGCCUGGCUGACAGAGCAAGGCCCUGUCUUAAACAAAUAAACCAACCUAGGCUUGUUCUAUUUUUCUGCUCUUUAUCCUUCUCAUCCUUAGGCUAUCAUAUCUCAUGACUGUGGUAACUUCAAGUAUUACAUCAUCACACAACUGUUCAAGCCUGGAUGAAAGCAUGGACCAGUAACAAACAGUUUGAAGACCAGGCUGAGUUCAUGAUCACACUUGAGAGGCACUGUUAACUCCGCUGACUCCAUAAGCUGUCCGCAGCCUGCCUCACCUGCCUCUUGUCUGCUGCUCCUUUUGAUUCACCUACAACAAGGUGUUCUCUGUAUGAAUAUGCCACGUAUUUUGUUUUACUUCUGGAAUUGACAUUAUAAUCUGUUCUUUCUUCCUGGAAUGCUCUCCUCUAGCUGGGGAACACCUACUCAUCUUUUUAGACCAGCUUAAAAGUCACCUUCCCUAUGAUGUUUUCUUGUGAAAAAAAUAUUUUUUUAAGAGACAGGGGUCUCCCUAUGUUGCCUAGGCUGUUCUCAAACUCCUGGGCACAAGUGAUCUUCCCACCUCAGCCUCCCAAAGUACUAGGAUUACAGACAUGAGCCAUCAUGCCCCCAACCUCGUGAAUUUUAGUUAGGUUAUAGCAGUAUAGCAAAAGUCCCUAUGGAUUGAAUUAUUUGCUCUCUCAUCAGUGUUUUUUCUUUGAAUCCUAGGUACACUUAUUUUAUUGGAUUGCAGUUUCUGGGUCAGUAUCCCAGAAUAGACUGAAAGUUUAUUGAAGUGAUAAUUGUCUUCUUCAUCUUUAUAUCCCCUGUUCUUGGAACACAUAGUUUGUCCUGAAUAAAUGCCUGUUGAAUUGAA